GAGUUUGAUCAUGGCUCAGAUUGAACGCUGGCGGCAUGCCUUACACAUGCAAGUCGAGCGGCAGCGCGGGGGCAACCCUGGCGGCGAGCGGCGAACGGGUGAGUAAUGCAUCGGAACGUGUCCUCUUGUGGGGGAUAACCAGUCGAAAGACUGGCUAAUACCGCAUGAGAUCGAGAGAUGAAAGCAGGGGACCGCAAGGCCUUGCGCGAGAGGAGCGGCCGAUGCCGGAUUAGCUAGUUGGUGGGGUAAAGGCCUACCAAGGCGACGAUCCGUAGCUGGUCUGAGAGGACGACCAGCCACACUGGGACUGAGACACGGCCCAGACUCCUACGGGAGGCAGCAGUGGGGAAUUUUGGACAAUGGGGGCAACCCUGAUCCAGCCAUGCCGCGUGUGUGAAGAAGGCCUCGGUUGUAAGAC
rnacentral:rRNA from 1 species